rnacentral:rRNA from 1 species
GACGAACGCUGGCGGCGUGCUUAACACAUGCAAGUCGAACGGGUCUGCCUUGUUUUUUGCGGGGUGGGUCAGUGGCGAACGGGUGAGUAACACGUGAGUAACCUGCCCCUCACUUCCGGAUAACCGCUUGAAAGGGUGGCUAAUACCGGGUGUUCUGGCUGUGCCGCACGGUGUGGCUGGGAAAGAUUCACUUUUGUGGUGUUUUGGUGGGGGAUGGGCUCGCGGCCUAUCAGCUCUUGGUGGGGCGAUGGCCCGCGGCUGUUUGACGGGUUUCGGGUCCCUUUCUGGGCGUUCCCGUGCAACGGAAACUUUCCCCUCACACCUUCGUUCGUCUGUUACGACGGGUAUUGCCCAUCGGAAGACCUCCUGCACUCACGCCGUGGCGCGCGGGCAGGGGGGCCUCCGGUGGCGAACAUCCCCCGCCGCUGACUCCGGUAUGAGUCUGUGCCGUGGCUCAAUCCCAUUCGGCCUAUAACCUUCUCGUGUCUGCUAUGUCUCUGCGCCUUGGAGAGCCGUGACCUCACCGCUAGCUUAACAACGCAUUUCCUCUGUGUGGUGAUGCAAUGAAGCUUCUGAAUGAUUCGAGAGAUAUCGUUUUUGUGCGGUAUGAUGCUAUCGCUCCAUUAGUUAUGCCCGGAAGGAGGAGGUUGCCUGCGCGUGCUCACCCUUCGCUGCUCUGCCGCUCGGUGCAAUGAUGUUCUAUGCUGUUGUCUCCUUGAUGAAGGACGCUGCCAUCGUUGUCCUGGAUACAUGAUCAUACUCUAAGUGUGUAUUCUGCUUGGGUGUGUAUGCUUAGUGAUCCGUCUAUCUCAUGGGGGGUGUGCGGUAUUGAUUUUAGUACCAUAAAUAUGUUAAAUAAU